UAUGAUUCAAAUACUUCACUAGAAGAGCUUGUUGCAAUACAACCCAUUCCUCAUGGAUUGACACCUCAAACUUGGGAAGUUUUAUGUAACUAUUGGAAGUCUACUGAGAAAACUUCAAAAAUCAAUAGAGAAAAUGCAAACAAAAAGAAAGGGACUCAUGCACAGGGACGCACUAAUAUUCCGUCAUUGGAAUAUAAAUUUUCUCAAGAGAAUGGUAGAAAACCAAGUCGUAUUGAAAUACAACAAUUAAGUCGGAGAAGUAGAAAGAAAGGAGGUGCCGCUAUUGACGAUGAGGCAAUACGAAUUGAGG